AAUCAGCCGGUCUCGCGAAUGCCCUACGGNUUGUAAGUUUGAUCAUGGCUCAGAACCAACGCUNUACGGCGUGCCUAACACAUGCAAGUCGAACGCGAAAGUCCCGCAAGGGAUCAGUAGAGUGGCAAACGGGUGAGUAACGCGUGGGCGACCUACCUCUGAGUGGGGGAUAACCUUCCGAAAGGAGGGCUAAUACCGCAUGACAUCCCGUGUUUGGAUACACGGAAAUCAAAGUCGGGGAUCGCAAGACCUGACGCUUGGAGAGGGGCCCGCGUCCGAUUAGCUAGUUGGUGGGGUAACGGCUCACCAAGGCUCCGAUCGGUAUCCGGCCUGAGAGGGCGGACGGACACACUGGAACUGAGACACGGUCCAGACUCCUACGGGAGGCAGCAGUGGGGAAUUGUUCGCAAUGGGCGCAAGCCUGACGACGCAACGCCCCCC
rnacentral:rRNA from 1 species